GAAUCCUGAAUUCGAAAGGGUGUGAUUCAAGUCCGCCCGGCUGCACAGGACGCCUGGCCCCGCCAGUUGGCGCCGGUCGCCUGCGGCGAUUCAUUUCGCUUGCGGUGUCGUUCCUGGCGAUCACUCGGUGAGGUGGCGAUGCUCUGGCACCGGAGGAGUGCACUUCCGCCCUAGUAGAAACGUCGCGACCCGUUGGGUGCCGGUCUAAGGCCCGGGAAGGCAGACCGUGUGUCCUGUGGGGGCUCUCACAGGCGUGCGGACUCCUGGUGACCCGGCCGGCUGCUCGACGGUAUGACCAGAGGAGUCGAUCCGCUGAAUGUGAAACACUGUGGAUGUGUAGCGUCCGGCCCGGCGCCGAUGCGUGCGGGGAUUGAGGUGCAAACCGGGGGGUUACCGUGCGAAGCACGGCCCCGGCCCCGCUGCGUUUUCGGUUGUCGGUGACCUCGGACUGGAUCGUUACUCCCGUCUGCGGCGCCAUUUUCGGAUGGUCUCCCG
rnacentral:rRNA from 1 species